GGUUCCCUAGCUCAACUGAAUAGAGCAUCUGACUACGGAUCAGAAGGUUGUGGGUUUGAAUCCCGCGGGAAUCA
rnacentral:tRNA from 1 species